CGAAAGCCUGACGGAGCAAUACCGCGUGAGGGAGGAAGGCUCUUGGGUUGUAAACCCCUUUUCUCUGGGAAGAAAGGUGUGAAAGCAACCUGACGGUACCAGAGGAAUCAGCAUCGGCUAACUCCGUGCCAGCAGCCGCGGUAAGACGGAGGAUGCAAGCGUUAUCCGGAAUGAUUGGGCGUAAAGCGUCCGCAGGUGGCAGUUCAAGUCUGCUGUCAAAGACCGGGGCUUAACUUCGGAAAGGCAGUGGAAACUGAACAGCUAGAGUAUGGUAGGGGCAGAGGGAAUUCCUGGUGUAGCGGUGAAAUGCGUAGAGAUCAGGAAGAACAUCGGUGGCGAAGGCGCUCUGCUGGACCAUAACUGACACUCAGGGACGAAAGCUAGGGGAGCG
rnacentral:rRNA from 1 species